rnacentral:rRNA from 1 species
GACAGAGGGUGCAAGCGUUGUGCGGAAUCAUUGGGCGUAAAGCGCGCGUAGGCGGUUUCGCAAGUCGGAUGUGAAAACCCGGGGCUCAACCCCGGAAGUGCGCCCGAUACUGCGAGACUUGAGUCCCGGAGAGGGUGGUGGAAUUCCUGGUGUAGAGGUGAAAUUCGUAGAUAUCAGGAGGAACACCGGUGGCGAAGGCGACCACCUGGACGGAGACUGACGCUGAGGUGCGAAAGCGUGGGUAGCAAAC